rnacentral:lncRNA from 1 species
CUUGAUGUUGAGUUAAUUGAAUUGCGAACAAUUAUCUAUUAUAUUAAGUGAUUGUUAAAAAAAUGCAUUGCCAUAAAGUGUACGGAAUGCUAAAAAAAAAUUGCUUCGGGGGCUCCCGCCCCCGAACCCCCGUGUAAAUAUUUUCAGACACCGUAGUCCAAUAGAUUCAGCCCCCCCUAAGAUUGAAUCCUGGAUCCGCC